rnacentral:rRNA from 1 species
AUUGAACGCUGGCGGCAGGCUUAACACAUGCAAGUCGAGCGGGGUGAUGGUGCUUGCACUAUCACUUAGCGGCGGACGGGUGAGUAAUGCUUAGGAAUCUGCCUAUUAGUGGGGGACAACGUCUCGAAAGGGAUGCUAAUACCGCAUACGUCCUACGGGAGUAAGCAGGGGAUCACUUGUGACCUUUCGCUAAUAGAUGAGCCUAAGUCGGAUUAGCUAGUUGGUGGGGUAAAGGCCUACCAAGGCGACGAUCUGUAGCGGGUCUGAGAGGAUGAUCCGCCACACUGGGACUGAGACACGGCCCAGACUCCUACGGGAGGCAGCAGUGGGGAAUAUUGGACAAUGGGGGGAACCCUGAUCCAGCCAUGCCGCGUGUGUGAAGAAGGCCUUAUGGUUGUAAAGCACUUUAAGCGAGGAGGAGGCUCUUUUGGUUAAUACCCAAGAUGAGUGGACGUUACUCGCAGAAUAAGCACCGGCUAACUCUGUGCCAGCCGCCGCCGUAA